rnacentral:rRNA from 1 species
UGGGGAAUUUUGGACAAUGGGCGAAAGCCUGAUCCAGCAAUGCCGCGUGUGUGAAGAAGGCCUUCGGGUUGUAAAGCACUUUUGUCCGGAAAGAAAUCCUUGGCUCUAAUACAGUCGGGGGAUGACGGUACCGGAAGAAUAAGCACCGGCUAACUACGUGCCAGCAGCCGCGGUAAUACGUAGGGUGCAAGCGUUAAUCGGAAUUACUGGGCGUAAAGCGUGCGCAGGCGGUUUGCUAAGACCGAUGUGAAAUCCCGGGCCCGUCAACCUAGGGCACUGGCAAUUGGUGAUGCUGGGCAGGCUAGAGUAUGGCAGAGGGGGGUAGAAUUCCACGUGUAGCAGUGAAAUGCGUAGAGAUGUGGAGGAAUACCGAUGGCGAAGGCAGCCCCCUGGGCCAAUACUGACGCUCAUGCACGAAAGCGUGGGGAGCAAACAGGAUUAGAUACCCUGGUAGUCCACGCCCUAAACGAUGUCAACUAGUUGUUGGGGAUUC